UUGUGAAACUAUGGGCAGAACAAAAAGAACUUUCCAUUCUUCACUCCAAGAUUCCCACCAUGUAUCGACAUGAAAUCAGCAAGAUCACUGCACAACUUUGCAUUGCAAUUGGUAGGGGAAAUUUGUUAGUGCCAAAAGAUGUUAGAUAUUGUUUGUUAUCGACAUGGCUGGAAAGUUUAUAUGACGAUUUUGGGUGGAUGAAGAGGGCUGGUAGAUCUAUUGACAAGAAGCUGGUUGAAGAGGGACUUGGUCAGACUAUUCUAACACUACCCUUGGCUCAACAACAAACCGUUCUGCUUAACUGGUUCAAUCGAUUCCUUAACAAAG
rnacentral:misc_RNA from 1 species